CUUUCCUGAGCAGGAAAGAGACCAGAUAAAGGAGCAUAUUAGACCUUCUUAUUCCCAUGCAGAUGUCUGAGGCUUUUUUUGGUCAAAUCUGAUCUGUAUUUCUUCUUGGUUAAUACCCCCAGAGUGCUGCAGGCUGCUUUCUGCCUG
ensembl:misc_RNA